UACGGAAGGCAGCAGGGGGAAUAUUGCACAAUGGGCGCAAGCCUGAUGCAGCCAUGCCGCGUGUAUGAAGAAGGCCUUCGGGUUGUAAAGUACUUUCAGUCGUGAGGAAGGUGUUAAGGUUAAUAACCUUAGCAAUUGACGUUAGCGACAGAAGAAGCACCGGCUAACUCCGUGCCAGCAGCCGCGGUAAUACGGAGGGUGCGAGCGUUAAUCGGAAUUACUGGGCGUAAAGGGCACGCAGGCGGUUAAUUAAGUUGGAUGUGAAAUCCCCGGGCUUAACCUGGGAAUGGCAUUCAAGACUGGUUAGCUAGAGUCUUGUAGAGGGGGUAGAAUUCCAUGUGUAGCGGUGAAAUGCGUAGAGAUGUGGAGGAAUACCGGUGGCGAAGGCGGGCCCCUGGACAAAGACUGACGCUCAUGUGCGAAAGCGUGGGGAGCAAACAGGGAUUAGAUACC
rnacentral:rRNA from 1 species